rnacentral:rRNA from 1 species
GAUGAACGCUGGCGGCGUGCCUAAUACAUGCAAGUCGAGCGAACAGACGAGGAGCUUGCUCCUCUGACGUUAGCGGCGGACGGGUGAGUAACACGUGGAUAACCUACCUAUAAGACUGGGAUAACUUCGGGAAACCGGAGCUAAUACCGGAUAAUAUAUUGAACCGCAUGGUUCAAUAGUUAAAGACGGUUUUGCUGUCACUUAUAGAUGGUUCCGCGCCGCAUUAGCUAGUUGGUAAGGUAACGGCUUACCAAGGCGACGAUGCGUAGCCGACCUGAGAGGGUGAUCGGCCACACUGGAACUGAGACACGGUCCAGACUCCUACGGGAGGCAGCAGUAGGGAAUCUUCCGCAAUGGGCGAAAGCUUGACGGAGCAACGCCGCGUGAGUGAUGAAGGUCUUCGGAUCGUAAAACUCUGUUAUUAGGGAAGAACAAAUGUGUAAGUAACUAUGCACGUCUUGACGGUACCUAAUCAGAAAGCCACGGCUAACUACGUG